rnacentral:tRNA from 1 species
UUCAACCUAGUUUAAUAAAAACAUUCUGUUGUUACCAGAAAAAUUAGAGUUGAAA